GACGUAGGGCGCAAGCGUUGUUCGGAUUUACUGGGCGUAAAGGGCGCGUAGGCGGUCGUGACAAGUCACUUGUGAAAUCUCCGGGCUUAACUCGGAACGGUCAAGUGAUACUGUCGGACUAGAGUACAGAAGGGGCAACUGGAAUUCUCGGUGUAGCGGUGAAAUGCGUAGAUAUCGAGAGGAACACCUGCGGCGAAGGCGGGUUGCUGGGCUGAUACUGACGCUGAGGCGCGAAAGCCAGGGGAGCGAACGGG
rnacentral:rRNA from 1 species